UACGUAGGGUGCAAGCGUUGUCCGGAAUUAUUGGGCGUAAAGAGCUCGUAGGCGGCCACCGCAAGUCGGUUGUGAAAUCUCCGGGCUUAACCCGGAAAGGUCAAUCGAUACUGCGGGGCUAGAGUGCAGAAGGGGCAACUGGAAUUCUCGGUGUAGCGGUGAAAUGCGUAGAUAUCGAGAGGAACACCUGCGGCGAAGGCGACUACCUGGCCUGUUCUUGACGCUGAGGCGCGAAAGCUAGGGGAGCAAACGGG
rnacentral:rRNA from 1 species